GAUUCUGCUUGUGUACCGGCUACCCUGCUGCACAGCAGUCUCUCUGCCUAAGCUAGCAAGAGUGGUCUCUGGCCUGGCAUUGGAGUCUCAGCGGCUAAUAGUGCUGAGGGACUUCAACGUCCAUGCAGAGUCACCUGUAUCUGUAGCAGCUCAGGACUUCAUGGCUGCCAUGACAACCAUGGGGCUGCCCCAAGUGAUAUCUAGGACCACUCAUAUAGCAGGACACACCCUGGACCUAGUCUUCAUUGUGGAUGCAUGCCCCAUCCCUGUCCUGGUUUGGUAUCCCAAUUUCCUAGGGCCUUGACAAUAAUCCCAUUAAAUGUGGGGCUAUUCCAUAUCUAGGUUGACUGUCUUGUAGCAGUUCUUCCACAUCUGGUCUGGAGUGGGGAGACAGUCCUGUUAUCAUACAAUAGUGCUCACAUGCACCAUUAUCCAGUUUGGAAGUGGCUUAAAGCAAACCGAUUUCGCUAUGUUGCAUCUAUACAAAUACCCCAGGAAUUGGUUCAAGCUGGAACAGUGGACACAGUACCCACUAAUUGCAGAUUCAGACCCAAGAACUACAGUAUCUGUAGCUAGACAACCUCUGGAAAAUACAAGUUUUUUUUUUAACCAAUAUGCUGAGAUGUACUGAUGUUUUGCCAAUGAUUAGAGUAUAUCCUGGUUUCGAACCCUACAUGGGCUAUACUCUGAUCGGCUACAGCACAUUAUUUGGCUUGUUCUGGACUUUCUGUGCCUCCCAGCACUGUUUCUGGCUUGAGAGUUUUAUGUGCUGCAGCAUGUAUUGAAAGUGUACAUUUUGUGGACACCUUGCCCUCGAGCUGGCUCAAAAUUGCGUUAUAGUGCCUGUGUAGAGCCACCCAUUGUACAAGGGAAACAACAGAGUUGUGAAGGCACGCUGGGGGAAAAUGGCUAUCUCUAGGUCUGGCUACCCAAGCAGCUUCGGUUUACCUUAUAAUUAUACCUCAAACCCCAAAGUAAAUACUCUAGAAGCUGAUUAAAGAUAACCAAAAAUAUUGUUUAUUGAAAACAGGAAACAGUCCUUUUAAUGUAUUAGAAAUAAUAUGAGGUAAAAUCACUGAAAUUAUACAGAAAUAAAACUAUAUUGAUUGAGAAUGAAAGCUAUAGAGACUAUAAAGGAUAAACACACAAGCUAUGAGGAAACUAUAAGGUAAGGACUAUAGGGUAUGUACAAGGCUAUGAUAAGCACUAUCUAUAAUGACUUUAGUGGUAAAUACCAGCUAUAGUGAACUAUCUAUAAUAACUCUGAGGUAAACUAUAAGGUGAUAAGCUAUAAGGUAAGUACAUAAGGUAAGUACAAGGCUAUGAGGUAAGCUAUGAGGCUAUGAGGUAAACUGUAAGGUAAGUACAUGGCUAUGAGGUAAACUGUAAGGUAAGUACAAGGCUAUGAGGUAAAUACCUAAAGCUAUGAUGUGACUAUAAGGUAAGUACAAGGCUAUGAGGUAAGCUAUGAGGCUGAGGUAAACUGUAAAGUAAGCACAUAAAGCUAUGGUGGUAAGUACAAGGUGAACUAUAAGCUUUGCUAUCUUUGAGGUAAAUACUUUACUAUGAGGUAUACUAUCUAAGCUAUAGGUAAGUACAAGGCUAUGAGGUAAACUGUAAGGUAAGUACGUGAUUUAUGUUGCCUGUUUGAAUUUGCCAGGUCAAAGAACCCAGACCAAAUUCUAAGACCUAUCUCUAAGAGGUUUUUCUCUGGAAUUGCAAUUGGAGGGAAAAAAGCCUCUAGAGAUUAGCUCCCAGGCUGAACCAUCUCAUCCAAACCUAAAGGGGAGUCCCAAGCUCCACCCCCAAAAUGAGAGCCAAUGGAACAUUCCUCCCAAGAACAGCAACCAGGAAAUAAGCAAGGGAGGGAAAGCCAAGUAGGACAGCACAAGAGUGUUGGCUACAAGUUAUCUCCCACUUCAAAUAGUCUGGUUUGUUUUAGCAACAAGCCUCCUAAAUUACAAAUGUUGUUGCUCAAUAUGAGGUGAGUGCAUGAAACAACAUGAUUGGUCCCAUACUUUAUCAUAAUUCAUCCUGUACUUUCAGAUUAGUGAAAUGAAGAUAAGCAGGCAGAUUGCCAGAGUGUGUAGAUACUGAUAAGGAAGAUAACUCUGUGUCUAAAACAGUGGUUCUCAACCUGUGGGUCCCCAGGUGUUUUGGCCUACAAAUCCCAGAAACUUCAACCAGUUUACCAGCUGUUAGGAUUUCUGGGGAUUGAAGGCCAAAACAUCUGGGGACCCAUAGGUUGAGAACCACUGGUCUAAAGACUUGGAGACUUAAACAGUUGGGGCCCAGCUCCACAGCAGGAACUGGCAAAUGCUGAAGACGCAUCCCAUUAUUUGCAAAGUGACAUUUUAAGCUAUUAAGCAAGAAAUACUGACCUAAUUAUACACCUGAGUAAUGACAAUGAAUCUCCCAACUACUCCAUGAUUGCCUUGUUGAUUUCAACCCUCCUCUUUGAAGAUUCACAAUACUUCUACAAAUCCCUCUUGUUUUCUUGACUUUUAAUUGGCACAAUUUACAGCUCAGAUUUGCUUUUUGCUGACUUUCCUUAUCUGGACCACUGUCUUCUGGAUGACUUCUGGAUCAGAUGACAAUUGUAACGGAAAAGCUAAAUAUAAUGGAGUUUUUGUGUAUGUUUAUUAGUGCUGAUAUUAUGGCAAGGACAGGCAUAAUAUCUGAUUGGUUACAUCUGAUUGGUCAAUGUGUCACCAUGGUUACGUAGCCUUUGCAGUAGAAAUGUAUCCAUUUUAGAGUAGCUAGCAAGAAAAGGGGUGGAAAUAGCUAAGAGAAAAAGAAGGAACAUUAAAAAAAUUAUUCAGUCUCUAGCCCGGGAGCUAGAGGGAAGAUGUUCCUUGUUUAAGACUGUUCCCUCAGUUGUAGUACUGAAGUAAAAAGGAACUACAGUAGAGUCUCACUUAUCCAAGCUAAACAGGCUGGCAGAAGCUUGGAUAAGCGAAUAUCUUGGAUAAUAAGGAGGGAAUAAGGAAAAGCCUAUUAAACAUCAAAUUAGGUUAUGAUUUUACAAAUUAAGCACCAAAACAUCAUGUUAUACAACAAAUUUGACAGAAAAAGUAGUUGAAUACGCAGUAAUGUUAUGUUGUAAUUACUGUAUUUACUAAUUAAGCACCAAAAUAUCACGAUAUAUUGAAAACAUUGACUACAAAAAUGGCUUGGAUAAUCCAGAAACUUGGAUAAGCGAGGCUUGGAUAAGUGAGACUGUACUGUACUUUGAAUGAGUCUCUAGCCAGGGAGCUAGAGGGAAGAGGACUUUUGCUUAAGUUUGUAGCUUCCAUUUUUAUAUUGAACUAAAAAGAGACUAAUUUUUAGUCUAAGUCCUCAGUCAGGUUAAACUGAGACAGAGUGUCCUUUGGGACUAAGUUUUAGUCAGGUUAUCAAUGUUAAAGAGUGACCAAAAGAUAGAAAUUAUCCAGCCAGAAGGCUUAGGAAAAAUAUACAUUUGAAAUAGAAGAAAGUUGCUUAAACAAGCUGAAAUAAGUUAAACUGUUCUGGAAGUUAUAUAGUAACAGUUUUAUGUAUUCAAAAAGUGAAAGACAAUUGCAAUGAUAUCCAAGUGGAACUGAAGUAAAGUACUUCGUAACUUCUUUAUGUGCAAAAGAAUUCAUAAAUAAACAUGUCUUUGUUACAACUUA